UACGGGGGGGCAAGCGUUGUUCGGAAUUACUGGGCGUAAAGGGCUCGUAGGUGGCCAACUAAGUCAGACGUGAAAUCCCUCGGCUUAACCGGGGAACUGCGUCUGAUACUGGUUGGCUUGAGUUUGGGAGAGGGACGCGGAAUUCCAGGUGUAGCGGUGAAAUGCGUAGAUAUCAGGAGGAACACCGGUGGCGAAGGCGGGUCUCUGGGCAGUAACUGACGCUGAGGAGCGAAAGCGUGGGGAGCGAACAGG
rnacentral:rRNA from 1 species